GAUGAACGCUGGCGGCGUGCCUAAUACAUGCAAGUCGAGCGAGCGGACGAGAAGCUUGCGUCUCUGCUGUUAGCGGCGGACGGGUGAGUAACACGUGGAUAACCUACCUAUAAGACUGGGAUAACUUCGGGAAACCGGAGCUAAUACCGGAUAAUAUUUUGAACCGCAUGGUUCAAAAGUGAAAGACGGUCUUGCUGUCACUUAUAGAUGGAUCCGCGCUGCAUUAGCUAGUUGGUAAGGUAACGGCUUACCAAGGCAACGAUGCAUAGCCGACCUGAGAGGGUGAUCGGCCACACUGGAACUGAGACACGGUCCAGACUCCUACGGGAGGCAGCAGUAGGGAAUCUUCCGCAAUGGGCGAAAGCCUGACGGAGCAACGCCGCGUGAGUGAUGAAGGUCUUCGGGUCGUAAAGCUCUGUUAUUAGGGAAGAACAUAUGUGUAAGUAACUGUGCACAUCUUGACGGUACCUAAUCAGAAAGCCACGGCUAACUACGUG
rnacentral:rRNA from 1 species